rnacentral:snRNA from 1 species
CUGUGGAGACUAUAUGAAACAAA